rnacentral:rRNA from 1 species
CAGGUCUUGACAUACCGGGCAAAGCCUCGGAGAUGAGGAAAUAGUUAUGCCGGAUACAGGUGGUGCAUGGUUGUCGUCAGCUCGUGUCGUGGGAUGUUGGGUUAAGUCCCGCAACGAGCGCAACCCUUGUCUUCAGUUACCAUCAUUCAGUUGGGGACUCUGGAGAGACUGCCGGUGACAAACCGGAGGAAGGUGGGGAUGACGUCAAAUCAUCAUGCCCCUUAUGACCUGGGCUACACACGUACUACAAUGGCGUAUACAACGGGAAGCGAAAUGGUGACAUGGAGCAAAUCUCACAAAGUACGUCUCAGUUCGGAUUGAAGUCUGCAACUCGACUUCAUGAAGUCGGAAUCGCUAGUAAUCGCGGAUCAGCAUGCCGCGGUGAAUACGUUCUC